GCUUAACACAUGCAAGUCGAGCGAGAAUCGUUUAUUGAAGGCUUCGGCUGGAAAUAGAUGAGGAAAGCGGCGAACGGGUGAGUAACGCGUGGGCAACCUGGCCUUAAGAAAAGGAUAGCCCCCGGAAACGGGGAGUAAUACUUUAUGAGAAUAGAAAAGGGCAUCCUAUUUCUAUUCAAAGCGCAAGCGCUUAAGGAUGGGCCCGCGUAUCAUUAGCUAGUUGGUGAGAUAACAGCCCACCAAGGCAACGAUGAUUAGCGGGUCUGAGAGGGCGAACGGCCACAUUGGAACUGAGAGACGGUCCAAACUCCUACGGGAGGCAGCAGUGGGGAAUAUUGCGCAAUGGAGAAGAACUCUGACGCAGCAAUACCGCGUGAGCGAAGAAGGUCUUCGGAUCGUAAAGCUCUGUUAUCAGGGAAGAAGAAAAUGACGGUACCUGAUGAGCAAGUCCCGGCUAACUACGUGCCAGCCGCCGCCGUAAUAC
rnacentral:rRNA from 1 species